UUAAUUGAAUAGUAAGCAAGUUAACAGCGUUUUGAAAGAAUGUUGUUUAAAAGGGAAGCGGGUUGGAAUCCCGCGCGGUCACGCCACUGUAAUAGGGUAGUCGUUAUGCGAACCACUGAUUUCUUCGGGAAGGGCAUAAACAGAUGAUAAUCCUUGAGCCAGGAGACCUGCUUGUUUUCACACAAAGCC
rnacentral:ncRNA from 2 species